GGACGAAGGGACAGCUUGGACACUUGCCGAAACAUGGCCACCAUAUCUUGAUUUGGACCAUCUAUAGUGACUUUCUGGUGUCCAAAAAUCAAAAAUAUCUAUUUUUGGUAAUUCAACAGCCCUCUUGUCAGUGGUGGAGGAACCAACAAACGACUGGUCCAAGAAGGUUUGACUAAUUAAAACAUCCUUAACAGCAUCAGGAGCAUCAAAUACUUGGUCAAGC
rnacentral:misc_RNA from 1 species